rnacentral:rRNA from 1 species
UACAGAGGUGUCAAACGUUGUCCGGAAUUAUUGGGCGUAAAGGGCGCGUAGGCGGCCGGGUAAGUGAGAUGUGAAAGCUCUGGGCUCAACCCAGGAAUUGCAUUUCAUACUGCUCGGCUAGAGAUUUGGUAGAGGAUGGCGGAAUUCCAGGUGUAGCGGUGAAAUGCGUAGAUAUCUGGAGGAACACCUGUGGCGAAGGCGGCUAUCUGGUCCAAUUCUGACGCUGAGGC